rnacentral:tRNA from 1 species
GGUUGUGGCUCAGUGGUAGAGCACUUGCCUGGCAAUGUGUGAGGCACUGGGUUUGAUCCUCAGCACCA